ACAGGUGCUGCAUGGCUGUCGUCAGCUCGUGUUGUGAAAUGUUGGGUUAAGUCCCGCAACGAGCGCAACCCUUAUCCUUUGUUGCCAGCGGUCCGGCCGGGAACUCAAAGGAGACUGCCAGUGAUAAACUGGAGGAAGGUGGGGAUGACGUCAAGUCAUCAUGGCCCUUACGACCAGGGCUACACACGUGCUACAAUGGCGCAUACAAAGAGAAGCGACCUCGCGAGAGCAAGCGGACCUCAUAAAGUGCGUCGUAGUCCGGAUUGGAGUCUGCAACUCGACUCCAUGAAGUCGGAAUCGCUAGUCAUCGUGGAUCAGAAUGCCACGGUGGAUACGUUCCCGGGCCUUGUACACACCGCCCGUCACACCAUGGGAGUGGGUUGCAAAAGAAGUAGGUAGCUUAACCUUCGGGAGGGCGCUUACCACUUUGUGAUUCAUGACUGGGGUGAAGUCGUAACAAGGUAACCGUAGGGGAACCUGCGGCUGGAUCACCUC
rnacentral:rRNA from 1 species